rnacentral:rRNA from 1 species
CCUACGGGAGGCAGCAGUGGGGAAUCUUGCGCAACGGGCGAAAGCCUGACGCAGCCAUGCCGCGUGAAUGAUGAAGGUCUUAGGAUUGUAAAAUUCUUUCACCGGGGACGAUAAUGACGGUACCCGGAGAAGAAGCCCCGGCUAACUUCGUGCCAGCAGCCGCGGUAAUACGAAGGGGGCUAGCGUUGCUCGGAAUUACUGGGCGUAAAGGGAGCGUAGGCGGAUAGUUUAGUCAGAGGUGAAAGCCCAGGGCUCAACCUUGGAAUUGCCUUUGAUACUGGCUAUCUUGAGUAUGGGAGAGGUUAGCGGAACUCCGAGUGUAGAGGUGAAAUUCGUAGAUAUUCGGAAGAACACCGGUGGCGAAGGCGGCUAACUGGCCCAUUACUGACGCUGAGGCUCGAAAGCGUGGGGAGCAAACAGGAUUAGAUACCCUGGUAGUCCACGCCGUAAACGAUGAGUGCUAGUUGUCGGCAUGCAUGCAUGUCGGUGACGCNGCUACGCAUAAGACACUCCGCCGUCGGGAGGUACGGUCGCGAGAAGUUAAACUAACGAAAGGUAAGUUAGUACGGUUCGUUGUAGACGUUGCCGACGGACGACGACGAGGGAGGAGG